rnacentral:rRNA from 1 species
AUACGUAGGGAGCAAGCGUUAUCCGGAUUUAUUGGGCGUAAAGCGCGCGUAGGCGGCUUGUUAAGUCAGGUGUUAAAGGCAAGGGCUCAACCCCUGUUCGCACCUGAAACUGGCAGGCUUGAGUUUGGUAGAGGAAAACGGAAUUCCUAGUGUAGCGGUGAAAUGCGUAGAUAUUGGGAAGAACCCCGGUGGCGAAGGCGGUUCUCUGGGCCACAACGGACUCUAAGGUGCGAAAGCUAGGGGAGAAAACAGGAUUAGAUACCCUGGUAGUCCUAGCCGUAAACGAUGGAUACUAGGUGUGGGGAGGCAUGCGCGCCGUGCCGCAUCUAACGCAUUAAGUGGCCCGCCUGGGGAGUACGGCCGCAAGGCUAAAACUCAAAGGAAUUGACGGGG